UUCUAGGUCCUCCACAACCAAGACAGAAUUGAAGUAUAGUCGAGUACAACAAGCAUCAGAGACAAGUCCAUUUGGUUUCUUACUCAAUUCAGCCAGAGAAACUUUCAGAAUGAAAAUUGAAGUAUGGCACCGGAUAUUUAGACGACAGCCAACAAGAUAAACAAAUAGAACAAUAGGUUUGACCGCCUCAAGAAAGAAGCUAGGUGUCAGCCAGGAGGUUGUUGUCACCUACUCGCAUGGCAGCUGUAGUUGAGUCCCCAAGAUGCAGGUGACAGGAGGUCGACGUGCAGUGUCUUCCCCGUAUCCUGUGGUCGAGUAUUGCUUCUCAACUUCCAUCCGGAUUGAUGACUGCCUUCCCCGAUCUUCGACCUCUGCUUGGACACGGACAUAUUUGCCUCUCUCCAACCCUCGACUGCUUGCCUCUCCACAGACUGCCUCUUUGCCUUGCCCCCUUGGUUCGAUGAAGAAUUGAUCCAACACGCACAGACAGCAACCCCUGGUAAAAUUUAUAUUGUUAAUUGAGCACAUCGUCCUCACACAUUCACUUGAAGUAGCAUCUCUCAGUCGUCCUCAGACGAGUUUCCAUCAGAGUCUCCAAUCAUUCCGGUGCUCCAUACACCUGGCCAGUUCCGUGGACCUUUCAGCUCCCGCAUCUUUCUUCAGGAUGUGCCCGUACGUUAGCGCGGUACAUCCUCGCGAUCGAUGCCCGUGCGUUGGUUCCCAUAGAACCAGCCUGCUGGUCGGGGGCUCCCGAUGUAUGUGGCAGUGGCCGGCAAGCCUCAUCCUCCUAGUUGUUACCUUCUUGCUGAGCCUCGGCAGUUGCCCAUACAGUUCCUUGGUGGUGAUGUGGAUGCUCUGGUCCACAUUGAGAACAGCUUGCAUCAUUCUGGUGUAGCAUACACAUCCUAUACACUCAUCAAAGGUUUAAAUAAACCUGUUAAACCGCA